AGAAAUGUAAAUACUUCUAUCUAAAAUGCCG
rnacentral:piRNA from 1 species